AAUGGAAAGCGCCCAGUAAUAAAUAGAUGCAAGCCGAGAGAGAUGGGUUUCUUAGGAGGAUCAUCUAUCCUUGUAAAUAAAUUUUAGCCAAUCACUUCCUCUGCUCCAAUAACUGAUUUCAUUACUAUGGAAACGGCUUAAACAGUACCGUACUAUUGUCACGAAUAAAAUAAUUAUCAUUAUGCUCAUAAAAAUGGUGGAAAAGUGCUGUAUUAAAUCAUGCAAGUGUUAAUCGAGUCCUGAAGGGAGUGUUACUUUCCGUAGUUUCCCACAGAAAAAAUUAGAGCUGUAGGAAGAGGGGAUGAUGGCAAUUCCUGAAGAUCAUUCCAUUGUACCUAUUUGUAGCCAACAAUUCUCCAGUGAGUCAUUCAACAAUUUAACACGAACGAAGACCACGAUUACAAUUCCCUCAAUCGAUGAGAAAGAGGUCCAGUUUUGUGAUGCAGUUAUUCAGUUUUCGCUACAGCACUCAAAACCGUCUAACAGAGAAAAGGAACUUAU